rnacentral:rRNA from 1 species
UACGUAGGGGGCAAGCGUUGUCCGGAAUUAUUGGGCGUAAAGAGCGUGUAGGCGGUUUGGUAGGUCCGUUGUGAAAACUCGAGGCUCAACCUCGAGACGCCGAUGGAAACCAUCAGACUAGAGUCCGGAAGAGGAGAGUGGAAUUCCUGGUGUAGCGGUGAAAUGCGCAGAUAUCAGGAAGAACACCCGUGGCUAAGGCGGCUCUCUAGUACGGUACUGACGCUGAGACGCGAAAGCGUGGGGAGCGAACAGG